UACAGAGGGUGCGAGCGUUGUCCGGAAUCACUGGGCGUAAAGGGCGCGUAGGCGGCUUGAUAAGCGUGCGGUGAAAGCCCGGGGCUCAACCCCGGGUCGGCCGUGCGAACUGUCGAGCUGGAGCACUGUAGAGGCAGGUGGAAUUCCGGGUGUAGCGGUGGAAUGCGUAGAGAUCCGGAAGAACACCGGUGGCGAAGGCGGCCUGCUGGGCAGUGACUGACGCUGAGACACGAAAGCGUGGGGAGCAAACAGG
rnacentral:rRNA from 1 species